GGGAUCGUGGCGGAACAGCAGACGCAGCGGACUUAAAAUCCGCAGUCAAGAAAUUGACGUGUGGGUGCAACUCCCACCGGUCCCA
rnacentral:tRNA from 2 species